AAACCAUGGUGUGGGCAGUCUCGCUGGUAGGCUUUGAAUCUCAACCAAGAAGCAUUAAAAGCUUCUGUAGUGCCUUGAGAAAAAUUAUAGAUCUUAUUCCUAAAACU
rfam:Brassica napus, WGS project CCCW01000000 data, contig: 24153